AGUUCUUGCUUCCAAGUUCCUGCCUGGAGCUCCUCCUCUGGUUUGCCUCUCGGAUGGACUAUAACCUGUAUUGCAAUGGUGACUUGGAGGUCUAACAACGUGACCAGCUAAACAGAUGCUAUUUUACAAUGAUAAGUGUAGCUACCACCCCUCAUCAAAGAAGCCUUGUCUUAAUAUCACAACUGGACACAAUGCAGAGAUGGAUGGAAUGUGGGGAGCCCAGCACUGAUGGCUACAUCCACAUCAUAGCUCCUGUAUCUAUAUGGCUCAUAGGUCAUCAAAGAAGAGGGGGCAGAAAGACUAUAAGAGUACAGAAGUCUAGUGUGAAGCAGUCUCUUCUAGAAAUGACUGUAGAAAGAAGACCAAAACAAUGAAAUAUCAAGGGACAUUGCGGUGGUUUGAAUAUGCUUGGCCCAUGGGAAGUGGCAUUAUUAAGAGGUGUGGCCUUGUUGAAA